rnacentral:rRNA from 1 species
AUGCAGGGAAUGAUUCAGAUUCAAGCAAGAUGUGACCUGAACCUAGUGGAUUUCUGCCCACCAAUCGGAGGAUGCGCCUUAUCGCGAGCUCGAUGCGGAAUGAUCCGAAUAUCUGGUGCUGGGUGGUACAGGUACAUUCCUGCCGGCCAUCCUUUUUGCUCAGAUAAGACCCAGACCCGGAUGCUCACAUCAGAAAGAGACCCCCUUGUGCAACUGGGAGAAUUUCUUGGUGCUAGCACAUUCAUAGAGGAGGCUACAAGUCAGCCCGAUGUUUCGAUCGGACUGUCCACAUGGUUGAUCAUUUGUUACAAGAGAAUAGAUGAUGACCAAAAUCUCCACCGCUAA